GGAUGUUGCGGCGUCGCAUGGGCAAGGACAAGGCUCGAUUGGGAAUCGUGGGACGGUUUAAAGCAUCGUGGUGGUGCCUCGGAGCUCGAUUGGCGAUUGCCUGCUCUGAAUGAUCAGUGUGGUGAGUGAAGGAACUGUGGCUAGUGUGCCCGCCAUUGUGCUCGCCGUCUGAGGAUCAUGUCGACCACUACGGUGUCGGAGGACGCCGAAGAUGGGAGAGGUGGUCGCAACGGCCAGCAGGCCAACCAAGGGCGCCUGUGGGACAUGGAUCAGCGGAUCGACCAGCCGCUGGGUGCCGAAGCCGACCAUGUUAGGUCCAUGUAUCGCGACCAGACUAUGCCUCCGAGUGUGGUGUUGUGCCUAGCGUUUCAGAGCCUUGGGGUGGUCUACGGAGACUUGGGCACAUCACCGUUGUAUGUUUUCAAGAGCACGUUUGCUAAUGGAGGAGUGAGGAACGAGGAUGACAUCAUUGGAGCUCUAUCCCUCAUUAUCUACACCCUCACCAUUAUCCCCUUGAUUAAAUACGUCUUCAUCGUGCUCAGAGCAAAUGACAAUGGCGAAGGGGGUUCUUUCGCUCUCUAUUCAUUGCUGUGUCGUUACUGUAAUAUAAGCGCCCUGCCAAAUCAACACCCUUCCGAUGCGGAGCUUACCACGUAUGUCGUAGACAACGCCCGCCGCAAAACCUGGAUUCAGAGGAAGCUGGAAAGUAGUGUGCUUGCGCAGCAAGUGUUGUUGGUUAUUGUGCUCUUCGGGACUUGCAUGGUUAUCGGCGACGGCAUAUUAACCCCGUCUAUCUCAGUCUUAUCGGCAGUUGUUGGAAUUAAAGCUGCUUCUUCCUCCUUGGAUACUAAUUUGGUGACAGGCAUUUCGUGCGUCAUCUUAGUCAUCCUCUUUAGCGUACAGCGCUUCGGCACAGCGAAAAUCUCAGUCUUGUUCGCACCGAUUUUCUUGGUUUGGUUCCUAUCUCUUGCCUGUAUCGGCUGCUACAACAUAAUCAAAUGGGAGAAAUCAAUCUUCUUAGCCUUCAAUCCCCUUCAAAUCGUACACUUCUUCAGACGGAAUGGAAGACAGGGGUGGGAGCAUCUCGGAGGCAUCGUGCUGUGUAUGACAGGGACUGAAGCGUUGUUUGCCGACUUGGGCCAUUUCAGUUGUCGGUCUAUUCAGAUUGUCUUCACUUCUCUAGUGUACCCGUGCUUAUUUCUGACUUACCUCGGGCAAGCUGCUUACCUCGUGGAACAUAUGGAAGACGUUAACGAUCCCUUUUAUUCCUCACUGCCGAGUAGUAUUUACUGGCCAAUCUUCGUGCUGGCAACAAUAUCAGCCAUGAUAGCGAGCCAAGCCAUGAUCUCCGCCACGUUUUCUAUCGUGAAGCAGGCGACAGCUCUGGGAUGCUUUCCUCGAGUGAAGGUUGUGCACACAUCAAAUAAUGUUGCAGGACAGGUGUAUAUCCCCGAAAUCAACUGGAUUCUUAUGGUUCUCUGCCUCUGCGUCACAGCUGGUUUCCGAGACACGGACCAAAUCGGAAAUGCUUACGGUAUCGCCGUGGUGAUGGUCAUGAUCGUCACCACCCUCCUGAUGACCCUAGUGAUAAUCAUCAUUUGGCGGAAGCACUUCCUCCUUGCCUUGCUAUUCCUUGUCGUGUUCGCAUCAAUCGAGGGAAUUUAUGUCAGUGCGGUCCUAUUCAAGACAACUCAAGGAGGCUGGGUGCCGCUGGUCAUUUCGGUGGUCUUCGGCACAGUCAUGGGCACAUGGCAUUACGGAACCUUGAAACGCUACCAGUAUGAGAUGCAGCACAAGGUUUCAGUGGGAUGGUUGCUUGGGCUUGGACCUAGCCUCGGCCUCGUUCGUGUCCCCGGAAUCGGUCUCAUGUACACAGAUCUCGCUCAUGGAGUGCCGCCGCUAUUCUCGCAUUUCAUCACCAAUCUCCCCGCCAUCCAUUCCACCGUAGUCUUCGUCUGCGUUAAAUACCUGCCAGUGAACACGGUACCACAAGAUGAGAGAUUUCUAAUCCGUCGCAUCGGUUCAAGAGCUUAUUCCAUGUACCGUUGUGCAGCACGUUACGGCUACAUAGACCUCCACAAGAAAGAUGACAACUUCGAGCAACUGCUAAUUCAAAGCUUAAUCAGUUUCGUCGAGAUUGAGUCUAUGAGAGAGAGCUCAGGCCGGGAGUCCAUGGCUGCAAGCUGGACCCCAGAUCAACAGCCGAUGGAGGAGGCCACGGUGCCAACUACGUCGACGAUCACUCCAAACCGGCUUCAGUUGCAAAGAAUGCUGAGAUUACACAGUCUGAUGGGCGGAGGCAACAGCGUCGGCGACGGUUAUUCCACUCAGUACUCCCAGACCGCCUCGAACUCGGUCGAGAUGUCUGCUAACCAGGAAUGCAGUAUUCCAAACCUGAGCGUCAACGGCAGCAACAGCAGCAGCAGCCCGCAUCCGCAAGACGAAGUUGCCUUCCUGAAUGCAUGCAAAGAUGCUGGCGUGGUGUACAUACUCGGUAACAACAUCGUGAAAGCGAGAAAGGAUGCAGGAUUUUUCAAGAAGCUGGUGAUCAACUACAUGUAUACCUUUCUGCGAAGGAUAAGCCGAGACAGCAGCGUGGUGCUCAACAUCCCGCACGAGUGCCUACUUCAUGUCGGCAUGGUGUACUAUGUUUGAUUCUUUUGGGUCUGAGUUUUGUACAGGGCGACAUUACACACGUCAUUCCGGCGAUCCACACCGCGAUAAAAAAAAAAAAAAAAAAAAAAAAAAAAGGGUUCCAAGAACAGUAGCGAAGGUCUUAAUUGGUGCAAAUCAUUGUAGAUACUGCAGGUAGAGAAAGCUUGAAGAGGAGGAAUGUGCUCAGUCUCAAAAAGCUUAAGAGUUGAACAACACAUUUACACAGAACAACGAAUUGGGAGAAUGCAAAUACAGUGGAAGAAUGCAAGGAUUUGUGCAAGGAUGUCUUCUACCAUCUCUCGUGCAAGUUGCUCCCUGGUCAUUUCGCUAUCUUCGGACAGAGGCGGGGGGUGGCGUUGCGGGCGGUGUUGCACUGUUGUUGGUCCUGUUGGGGAGGAGUUUGGGGCCCGUGUUGUGUUUUGAUGCAGGAGGCUGGUCCCGUUGUGUCCUUCGCGAUUUGGUGGUAGAGGGGUAGUGAAUUGCGCGAGGAUUUCCUCUGCCAUGGCGUUUGCGGUUUGAUCGUUGCCUUCCGUGUUGUCUGUCUCCGGAUGUGUCGUGGGUCUUGGGAGUUGGCAGUGAGGAAUGUAGGUGAUGGGGUUGCGGAAUUCCCGUAUUGUGUCUGCGGCCCGGUGGAGGGGGUGGUUCCUUCGAGGUGCUCAGGUUCUGUUUCCGGUGAGGGGCUGCGCUCUCUUAUCGUUUGCAUGUGGCUGACAAAUUCGCGCGGUAGGAAGUUGUGGUGCGGUAUUGGUUUCCAUUGGAGGCGAGAUCGCCCUGUGCAAAAUAGGUCCGCCCACGUCCAUAUCGAGAGGAAGGUGCUUUCCAACUCCAUGUGUCGUUUGCGUGAUCUUCAUUGUUUGAAUUUUUGGAGUUCGGCCUAGGCGCCCAUUCCCACCUAACCGUAGUUUGCCAUGCUCGAUAGAGGGCUACCCAGAGGUGGAAUUGUCCAUCCCAAAGAUCAUGUUCAUGCUCUCGGCACCAUAGGUAGUUCUACCAUCUAAGCUGAGACGUGCCAAAACAUCUGGUCUUGAAAUGGUAAUUUUUUUUACAA